rnacentral:lncRNA from 1 species
AUGGAACUUAAUCUCAACAGUCACCUGAGUUGAAGAUAGAGUUUGAGGAGUCAUCCCAAUAUGGAUAGCAUUUGUUGUAAAUUAGAAGGUGGUAAAAACUUGCCUUUGGAAAAAAGUUUAAAAAUUGCAGUGAGACUUAUGAAUACUCUUCAACUUCACCUGUUGGAAUAAAGGUCUUUCUUGUAAUCAGGAGAUCCUGUUGACAUGAUAAAACAGAAAGAGUCAGAGAGGAUCAGAAAUAAAUGAAAUCUCUCACAACUAAACUGCUUAUGUGUUCAUCCUGUUGACUGAUUCUUUUCUGGAUUGUGCUCCUUGUGGGCAGCAAAUCAACAGACUAUGUCCUCCUCUCCUACGUUUUGUCUGACAAGCAGCAUUUUUUAAAUAAAAGACAGGUGAACGAGUAAAUGAAUGCAGUGCAGAUCCAGUGCAGAUAGCUGCCUGCUGGCUGUGUUGGAACCAGGGAGACGUCAAAUGGAAAUCUCAGUGCAAGGCACCCUGUGACACAGUAUCUCUUCACAACUAUCAAGUUCCAGAACAUAAAUCCUGCAGUGUUUAAUCUGGAGACAAUGUUGAGGAUUCUCUGUCUAAACCAGUUCAUUUAACAGAUUAGAAAUCCAAGGUCAAGAUCAAGGUCAAG